CUGGGGUGACAAAAUGUAACCGUAUUUGGGGGGAGGGCUACCCCAAAGGCAAGUGCAUUCCCAUUCAAGCGGGGGAGAGAUACUUGCAAGGAACUAGAGGAGACUGAUGGGAAGGACUGCAAAGGAGAUAAGUGAUGCAGAAACUGAAGACAUGAAUAUUAUGUCAAUACCCUUGGACUAUUAGAGACGAGAGCAUGUUCACAGAAUAAGAACAGGAAGCUAUGAAACAGGUUAGAGAAGUAUUGCUAACUACAAGGGAAAAAAUAGGGCUGACUCCAUGGCCCAGCAGUUAAAGGAG